rnacentral:rRNA from 1 species
ACAUGCAAGUCGAGCGGUAACAGGGGGAGCUUGCUCUCUGCUGACGAGCGGCGGACGGGUGAGUAAUGCUUAGGAAUCUGCCUGGUAGUGGGGGAUAGCCCGGGGAAACCCGGAUUAAUACCGCAUACGCCCUACGGGGGAAAGCAGGGGAUCUUCGGACCUUGCGCUAUUGGAUGAGCCUAAGUCGGAUUAGCUAGUUGGUGGGGUAAAGGCCUACCAAGGCGACGAUCCGUAGCUGGUCUGAGAGGAUGAUCAGCCACAUCGGGACUGAGACACGGCCCGAACUCCUACGGGAGGCAGCAGUGGGGAAUAUUGGACAAUGGGGGCAACCCUGAUCCAGCCAUGCCGCGUGUGUGAAGAAGGCUUUCGGGUUGUAAAGCACUUUCAGCGAGGAGGAAGGCUCAAAGGUUAAUACCCUUUGGGAUUGACGUUACUCGCAGAAGAAGCACCGGCUAACUCCGUGCCAGCAGCCGCGGUAAUACGGAGGGUGCAAGCGUUAAUCGGAAUUACUGGGCGUAAAGCGCGCGUAGGUGGUUUGAUAAGCGAGAUGUGAAAGCCCCGGGCUUAACCUGGGAACGGCAUUUCGAACUGUCAGACUAGAGUGUGGUAGAGGGUAGUGGAAUUUCCUGUGUAGCGGUGAAAUGCGUAGAUAUAGGAAGGAACACCAGUGGCGAAGGCGGCUACCUGGACCAUCAC